AACGAACGCUGGCGGCAUGCCUAACACAUGCAAGUCGAACGAGACCUUCGGGUCUAGUGGCGCACGGGUGCGUAACGCGUGGGAACCUGCCCUUAGGUUCGGAAUAACUCCCCGAAAGGGGUGCUAAUACCGGAUAAUGUCUUCGGACCAAAGAUUUAUCGACUUUGGAUGGGCCCGCGUUGGAUUAGCUAGUUGGUAGGGUAAAAGCCUACCAAGGCGACGAUCCAUAGCUGGUCUGAGAGGAUGAUCAGCCACACUGGGACUGAGACGCGGCCCAGACUCCUACGGGAGGCAGCAGUGGGGAAUAUUGGACAAUGGGCGAAAGCCUGAUCCAGCAAUGCCGCGUGAGUGAUGAAGGCCUUAGGGUUGUAAAGCUCUUUUACCCGGGAUGAUAAUGACAGUACCGGGAGAAUAAGCUCCGGCUAACUCCGUG
rnacentral:rRNA from 1 species